GUGUUCGUUGAAAGGAGAGACGGUUGGCAUCUCCCCAGACAGGGACGGGAACGGCUUUCGGGCUUUUUCUGUUACCGAUCACAUGCGGUUAAGGCUAUCCGCUUUGGCGGAUCUUACCCAAAAUUUUU